AGAGCCCACAAAAGCUACAGCAGCACCAGGGGUGAUGAAGCAGCAACAGACCCAGGUCUGCAAGACAGNNNNNNNAAGAACUCCUCCCAUCACUCAUGGGAGAAAAUGAAGCUCUCUACUGGCCUCUAUCAGAGAAGCUAAAAAUUUCCCUCUUUUCUGCAAGUGUCCCAAACCCCAUGACUCUUAUUUCCAGGUAGAGAGACUGAUUUGAAGAACUACACGUAGCCACAAUACCUGUAAGUUUCACACUGCUAAAUUUUUUUUCUAAGCCUGAAAUCAUUAAUAUCUCUGUAAACAAUGAUGGGAAGUGGCUUUGUCUU
rnacentral:lncRNA from 1 species